AUGACUUUCAUCUGCGUCCUCAUCUGGACUCUCCUCUGCUGCUGCUUCACAGAGGUCAGAGGUCGGGUCACUGUGACUCAGCCUGGAACAGUGCACUCUGCUGUUGGAGAAUCCAUCACAAUCAACUGUAGGACUAAUCAGAGGGUGUACUCUUGGAAUAGCAAGUAUUAUGUGGCUUGGUACCAACAAAAAGAAGGAAAAUUCCCUAAACUUCUCCUGUAUGAUGCCAAUACACCAGCAGAUGGGAGACCCAGUCGCUACAGAGGUAGUGGGUCCAGUUCUGACUUCACUCUGACCAUCAGCGGGGUCAGGGCUGAAGAUGCAGCAGUUUACAUCUGUCACUGUGUUCAUGAGGAAAGUCACUGA